rnacentral:lncRNA from 1 species
UCUAAUUCUUGCUGCUGAAAUGGGUUGGAGAUAUAUAGAAAUGCUGAUGACUUAUAUGGGUUUAUUUUAUAUCCUGCAACUUUGAUACAAUUGUUAAUUAUUUCCACUAGCUUUUUAGUAGAUUCUCUAAGAUUCUUUAAGUAGACCAUCAUAUCAUCUGCAAGAGUGAUAGCUUGGUCUUCUCAUGGCCAAUUUUAAUACCUUCAAUUUCUUUUUAUUCUCUAAUUGCUACUGCUAGUGUUUCUAGUACAAUGUAAAAUAAUAGAUGUGAUAAUGGGCAUCCUUGUUUCACUCCUUAUCUUAUUGGUGUAAACCUCAAAAUUUCCUUAGACUUAUAAAUGUUGGAAAUUUCACCAUUGGGAUAUUUCAUACUUGGAAAAUUUCUUACUGAUAGUCUAUUGGAAUGGGAACUCCAUUGGCAUGGGAGGUUCCUUCUCUUCCCUUCUUAAGAUUACUUUAGGACAGAAACCCUUUGCUGAACAAUGGAAAGGACUUUGACCUAUGCUUGAGCAUAGAACAGGAAUUUCUUUGAGUCUUGAUUGAUUUUAGAAUUGAUACAAUGGAGAUACUCCACCCUAUUCAGUCCUAAUAAGAUUGAGUAAGGGCUGCAGCCUAGAUCAAAAUUUAAUUAUUCCAAUCUCUACCAUACUCAAGUUAACAGGAUUUAGAAAGGGCUGUAGCAAAGGAGUAUAGAUUUAAUCAUUUGAAAAUAUGACCUUCAACAGACAUGUGCAAAAGCCAGAAACCUCUGGGCGGUCCUGGGUUAAGCGAGAGCCUCCAUUGAAAGGGAAAUUGAUGAAGAGUGAUUGGUAGAUGUGAGGACUGAGGGGAGGCAACUUGGAUGGUGUCCUUAAAGAUAGGAGGGUCUGGAGACUCGAAGGGGGGGAGGAUUGAGUUUUUUGGUCGGUGUGGUUCCUGGGCUCUGAGGAAGCUUGCUCUGAAGGAAGCUGAAGGUGGGGGCCUCUGAGACUGUUUCUCCAUUUUGGACACGUGAGUAAUAGGGACUGAUCUCUUUUCUUUGCCCCAGCUAUCUAAGGGCUUGGGCCUUUUGGCCCAGCCUAAACAGAAGGGGUAUUUAAGCCCUAUUCCCUUCUCUCCCCUUUCUCUCUCUCUCUAUAUAUAUAUCUCUAAUUCCUUUCUUGCUCCUAUUGUAAUUAAACUCCAAAAAAGGCUGACGGCUGACUUGAGUUUUUCAUUUAGGAAUUACAUAGCUGAUUCCUUGGCGACCUUAAAUUAAUAUAUAUCAGUCUUUUAAAGUGAUUCCCUUGUAACAUUGGGAAGGCUUCUAGUUCAUCCCC